UCGCACGAACCGGGAGAGACCGCGCAUGUCGCGGCGCCGAAGGAGCAACCGCCCCGGAAACUCUCAGGCAAAAGGACCGGUUCGCUGCA
rnacentral:ncRNA from 1 species